CAAAUAUUACCUCUGUCCUAAGAUUCUUGUCUUAGAUUUGUUUUACAUGUGGAUGUAUCUAACACUAAACGUGACUAGAUACAUUCGUAUUUAGAUAAAUCUAAGACAAGAAUUUUGGGACUGAGGAAGUAUACA
rfam:Triticum urartu cultivar G1812 contig1180266, whole genome shotgun sequence.